UACGAAGGGGGCUAGCGUUGCUCGGAAUCACUGGGCGUAAAGCGCACGUAGGCGGCUUCUUAAGUCAGGGGUGAAAUCCUGGAGCUCAACUCCAGAACUGCCCUUGAUACUGGCGGUCUCGAGUCCGGGAGAGGUGAGUGGAACUGCGAGUGUAGAGGUGAAAUUCGUAGAUAUUCGCAAGAACACCAGUGGCGAAGGCGGCUCACUGGCCCGGGUACUGACGCUGAGGUGCGAAAGCGUGGGGAGCAAACAGG
rnacentral:rRNA from 1 species